CCCUUAGAUGUUCUGGGCCGCACGCGCGCUACACUGAUGCAUUCAACGAGUUUCUUCCUGGUCCGAGAGGAAUGGGUAACCUUUUGAAAGUGCAUCGUGAUAGGGAUAGACUAUUGCAAUUAUUGGUCUUCAACGAGGAAUUCCUAGUAGACGUAGUUCAUCAGACUGCAUCGAUUACGUCCCUGCCCUUGUACACACCGCCCGUCGCUCCUACCGAUUGAAUGCUCAGGUGAGCCAUUCGGACUUUCAUCAUGCUGGUUUCCAGUUUUGAUGAAGGAAAGUCUUGCGAACCUUAUCAUUUAGAGGAAGGAGAAGUCGUAACA
rnacentral:rRNA from 1 species